CAAUAGCGUAUAUUUAAGUUGCUGCAGUUAAAAAGCUCGUAGUUGGAUUUCGGGUGGGAAUGGCCGGUCCGCCGUUUCGGUGUGCACUUGCUACGCCCACCUUGCUGCCGGGGACGUGCUCUUGAGUUCACGCUCGGGACACGGAGUCGGCGAGGUUACUUUGAGUAAAUUAGAGUGUUCAAAGCAGGCCUACGCUCUGAAUACAUUAGCAUGGAAUAUCACGAUAGGACUCUGGCCUAUCUUGUUGGUCUGUAGGACCGGAGUAAUGAUUAAGAGGGACAGUCGGGGGCAUUCGUAUUUCAUUGUCAGAGGUGAAAUUCUUGGAUUUAUGAAAGACGAACUACUGCGAAAGCAUUUGCCAAGGAUGUUUUCAUUAA
rnacentral:rRNA from 1 species